AUGCCCGAAGGGCUUCUUUUCAGCACUGGAGCUAAGUUUGGUUUAACUGUAUUGAAGAAGUCGCAUCAACCUUUUGCUUUGAAAAGUUUGAACUAUUGUGAAGGGUGUGUACGAGGGACAAAGGAACAAGAAAGCAGAGUUGCAUUGGAAGGACAAAUUGAACUAAAUUCUGUGAUUAUGCACAGACAUGACCAUGCGUGGACAAUAAUUAUGCAGAUAAAGAGCAUGUACAAAAGAGUAAAGCCACUGCUAGAAAAAAAAUUACCAGAUUUUUGA